rnacentral:rRNA from 1 species
GUAGGCUGCAACUCGCCUACAUGAAGUCGGAAUCGCUAGUAAUCGCGGAUCAGCAUGCCGCGGUGAAUACGUUCCCGGGCCUUGUACACACCGCCCGUCACACCAUGAGAGUUUGUAACACCCAAAGCCGGUGGGGUAACCUUUUGGAGCCAGCCGUCUAAGGUGGGACAGAUGAUUGGGGUGAAGUCGUAACAAGGUAUC